rnacentral:rRNA from 1 species
AUGAACGCUAGCUACAGGCUUAACACAUGCAAGUCGAGGGGCAGCAUGAACUUAGCUUGCUAAGUUUGAUGGCGACCGGCGCACGGGUGAGUAACACGUAUCCAACCUGCCGAUGACUCGGGGAUAGCCUUUCGAAAGAAAGAUUAAUACCCGAUGGCAUAGUUCUUCCGCAUGGUAGAACUAUUAAAGAAUUUCGGUCAUCGAUGGGGAUGCGUUCCAUUAGGUUGUUGGCGGGGUAACGGCCCACCAAGCCUUCGAUGGAUAGGGGUUCUGAGAGGAAGGUCCCCCACAUUGGAACUGAGACACGGUCCAAACUCCUACGGGAGGCAGCAGUGAGGAAUAUUGGUCAAUGGACGAGAGUCUGAACCAGCCAAGUAGCGUGAAGGAUGACUGCCCUAUGGGUUGUAAACUUCUUUUAUACGGGAAUAAAGUGAGGCACGUGUGCCUUUUUGUAUGUACCGUAUGAAUAAGGAUCGGCUAACUCCGUGCCAGCAGCCGCGGUAAUACGGAGGAUCCGAGCGUUAUCCGGAUUUAUUGGGUUUAAAGGGAGCGUAGGCGGACGCUUAAGUCAGUUGUGAAAGUUUGCGGCUCAACCGUAAAAUUGCAGUUGAUACUGGGUGUCUUGAGUACAGUAGAGGCAGGCGGAAUUCGUGGUGUAGCGGUGAAAUGCUUAGAUAUCACGAAGAACUCCGAUUGCGAAGGCAGCCUGCUGGACUGUAACUGACGCUGAUGCUCGAAAGUGUGGGUAUCAAACAGGAUUAGAUACCCUGGUAGUCCACACAGUAAACGAUGAAUACUCGCUGUUUGCGAUAUACAGUAAGCGGCCAAGCGAAAGCGUUAAGUAUUCCACCUGGGGAGUACGCCGGCAACGGUGAAACUCAAAGGAAUUGACGGGGGCCCGCACAAGCGGUGGAGCAUGUGGUUUAAUUCGAUGCAACGCGAAGAACCUUACCUGGUCUUGACAUCCACGGAAGUUUUCAGAGAUGAGAAUGUGCCUUCGGGAACCGUGAGACAGGUGCUGCAUGGCUGUCGUCAGCUCGUGUUGUGAAAUGUUGGGUUAAGUCCCGCAACGAGCGCAACCCUUAUCGAUAGUUACCAUCAGGUGAUGCUGGGGACUCUGUCGAGACUGCCGUCGUAAGAUGUGAGGAAGGUGGGGAUGACGUCAAAUCAGCACGGCCCUUACGUCCGGGGCUACACACGUGUUACAAUGGGGGGUACAGAAGGCAGCUACACGGCGACGUGAUGCUAAUCCCUAAAGCCUCUCUCAGUUCGGAUUGGAGUCUGCAACCCGACUCCAUGAAGCUGGAUUCGCUAGUAAUCGCGCAUCAGCCACGGCGCGGUGAAUACGUUCCCGGGCCUUGUACACACCGCCCGUCAAGCCAUGAAAGCCGGGGGUACCUGAAGUGCGUAACCGCAAGGAGCGCCCUAGGGUAAAACUGGUGAUUGGGGCU